UGCUACAAUGGCGCAUACAAAGAGAAGCGACCUCGCGAGAGCAAGCGGACCUCAUAAAGUGCGUCGUAGUCCGGAUUGGAGUCUGCAACUCGACUCCAUGAAGUCGGAAUCGCUAGUAAUCGUGGAUCAGAAUGCCACGGUGAAUACGUUCCCGGGCCUUGUACACACCGCCCGUCACACCAUGGGAGUGGGUUGCAAAAGAAGUAGGUAGCUUAACCUUCGGGAGGGCGCUUACCACUUUGUGAUUCAUGACUGGGGUGAAGUCGUAACAAGGUAACCGUAGGGGAACCUGCGGUUGGA
rnacentral:rRNA from 1 species